GCCGGCAUAGCUCAGUUGGUAGAGCAGCUGUCUUGUAAACAGCAGGUCGCGGGUUCGAAUCCUGUUGCCGGCU
rnacentral:tRNA from 2 species